CCGGCACUGGCGGAUAAAUUAAAAAUAAUAAUACCAAAAAGUAUCUUUCUUGGUGAAAUAAAAUAAAACGCUCUAGGGUGUUAGAUGGUUUUGAAUAAGGCUCAGAUGUAAGCUGAUGAAAGAUUAUGGCUGAAAGAAUCGUUUGCUAUACGUUCAUUUGAGAAAAUCAUGAUGAUAAAAACAGUCAAAAAACUUCAGUAGAGCAGGCAGAAAAUUCAGCUUACUGACUCAGAGAAUAACCAUAGAGGAAAGCAAGUCGUGUGUGCACAGAGGAGGAUCGAUGGUUUUACCUGGAGAAAGGGUCUUUCUGUCUGAAGC